UAAAAAAAAGCCAUAGAUAGCUUCAAAACUUACCGGGGAGUCCCACCUCCUCACUGAAUGCCCCAUUACAACAAUGGCAACUGCAGAUGCAGGAGACCCAUAGUCAGAACUUGAACCCCCUCCCCCUUAAAGAGCAUAUUGCAGGUGACAUUUUUACAAAAUGCAUGUGUAAUCUGGUCCAAAAAUUACCUUUUGAAAAGUUGAUUGAGGAUUUAAAAUACUAUUCAAGACGUUAGGGGAGAUAUUUAACCGAAAAGUGACAGUUUUGAGCAAAGCGCCAAAAAAUGUUUUUUUUGUUUCAACAUCGCAUCAUAUUACGUAACGAGAGGGAGUUACAUGCUAGCAACUCAGUGUGGGAGUAGGUACGUUAUCAGUCAGAGUGGUUGUGUUGUAGUGAGUCAGUGUGUUGUCAUUAGUUUUGGAUUGUGUUAAUUUACUAUCAACAUGGUAAAUUAUUGCGUUUGUGGAGGUUGCACAAACUCCAGCCUGUCAGGACACCGAGUCCACCGGUUUCCUAACAGGAGAAAAAAACGGUGCUAUCUCCUGUGCCUGGGUCUGUUUUGUGCAGCUGAAGAGACGGGACUUCUCCUCUGUGUCAGCUACAAAAAAUGCGGUCAUGUGUGGCGCUCACUUCAGACCGGAGGAUUAUCAUCCAAGUGACCUGUUGGAGUUCAACGUGGGAUGCCGAAGCAAGAACCAGGAUUUAGGAGACAUUGGCAGUGAUGAGGUGGGAGAGAUGACAGCCAUUUCUGCUGCUGCAGCAGCACACGCGGACACAGAGCAAGAGGCAUCUGCACUUCACCGUGGCUCACAGUGCAACCUCAGACCUCUUCAUCGUUCAUCAGCUGUCCAGGCACAGCCCAAGAUGGUCAGUGUGGGAACUCAGACAGAAAGCUCUGAGAAAAAAACAUCUACUCCACUGCCCAGUCUGUUUUCAUGGGAGCUGCUGGAGACAUGUCAUGGAUCCCAGAGGAAGAAAUGAGAAGUGACUCAUCUGAUGAGGAACUCUCAAAUCCGCCUCUGCAGGACUCUCCCCAUGACCUCAAAGCUCAGAGGUCCCAAGUAGUAGCUGGUGUGAGUUAGAGGGUCUUAAGCGCAGCGUAAGGUUUCUUGAUGAGCAACAUAUGGAUGUCAGCCCUCAUCACGGACAGAAAUAGACAGGUGUAGGGAAGUAGAGGUGGAAUGAAGAUCUGAAGCUGUGGAGGCCAGCUGUUUUAAACCACCUUUACUGGGCUGCUGCUUCCACUCCUGAUGGUGAUCCAACAUAAAUAUAAUACGAAUCACAGCUAAUAAUGAUUAUACAGUCUUGCCUCAUCAUUAGAACAUAAUUUGUGUUUAUGCAGGAUCAACUGUAGCAAUAAAACUGGAACAUGUAGCUACAAGAACAGCACUGGUGAAGGAUGUUCGGCAGUUGUCCCCACAGCAUCAGACCUUUUCACUGGAGGCCUUCCACUCCCUCAUCCUGCACUUUGCACCAAAGCACACUGGCUUCUCCUCCCUUGGGAUGUACAGCAGGUGUGUCUGAUUGUAGGUUGCCCUGUGGAGCUGAUUGGCUGCUUUCCUGGAGCCAUAAGUUUAAAUGCCAGCUCCUCCCAGUUACUGGAGGCUCUCCUCUGCUGUUCCAGACUGCCAGCAUUGUGUGAUUGUGAAAAAUAUGUUUGUUAAUAAAACUAUUGAAAAAUG